rnacentral:rRNA from 1 species
GGAUGAACGUUGGCGGCGUGCCUAAUACAUGCAAGUCGAACGAAGACUGUAGUAAUACUGUCUUAGUGGCGAACGGGUGAGUAACGCGUGGGUGACCUGCCCCGAAGUGUGGGAUAACAGUUCGAAAGGAUUGCUAAUACUGCAUAAUAUCCAAGAGAUUAGACGCUUUUGGAUUAAAGGAGUAAUUCGCUUCGGGAGGGGCCCGCGUCCCAUCAGCUAGUUGGUAAGGUAAUGGCUUACCAAGGCGAUGACGGGUAGGGGACCUGAGAGGGUGGCCCCCCACAAUGGAACUGAAACACGGUCCAUACACCUACGGGUGGCAGCAGUAGGGAAUAUUAGUAAUGGGCGAAAGCCUGAACUAGCAACGCCGCGUGUGCGAAGAAGGCCUUCGGGUUGUAAAGCACUUUUUGAGAGGAUGAGGAAGGACGGUACUCUCAGAAUAAGUCUCGGCUAACUACGUGCCAGCAGCCGCGGUAACACGUAGGAGGCAAACGUUAUCCGGAUUUACUGGGCGUAAAGCGCGUGUAGGUGGUUUGGUAAGUAGGGCGUGAAAGCUCCUGGCUCAACUGGGAGAGGACGUUCUAAACUGCCAAGCUUGAGGAUGGUAGAGGGAGGUGGAAUUCCGGGUGUAGCGGUGGAAUGCGCAGAUAUCCGGAGGAACACCAGUGGCGAAGGCGGCCUCCUGGACCACUCCUGACACUCAGACGCGAAAGCUAGGGUAGCAAACGGGAUUAGAGACCCCGGUAGUCCUAGCCCUAAACGAUGUCGACUAGUCGUUCGGAGCAGCAAUGCACUGAGUGACGCAGCUAACGCGUGAAGUCGACCGCCUGGGGAGUACGGCCGCAAGGUUAAAACUCAAAGGAAUUGACGGGGACCCGCACAAGCGGUGGAUGAUGUGGAUUAAUUCGAUGCAACGCGAAAAACCUUACCUACCCUUGACAUGUCUGGAACCUUGCUGAGAGGCGAGGGUGCCUUCGGGAGCCAGAACACAGGUGCUGCAUGGCUGUCGUCAGCUCGUGUCGUGAGAUGUUGGGUUAAGUCCCGCAACGAGCGCAACCCUUAUCACUAGUUGCCAUCAUUUGGUUGGGCACUCUAGUGAGACUGCCGGUGACAAACCGGAGGAAGGUGGGGAUGACGUCAAGUCCUCAUGGCCCUUAUGGGUAGGGCUUCACACGUCAUACAAUGGUCGGUACAGAGGGUUGCCAAGCCGCGAGGUGGAGCCAAUCCCUUAAAGCCGAUCGUAGUCCGGAUCGUAGUCUGCAACUCGACUACGUGAAGUCGGAAUCGCUAGUAAUCGCAGAUCAGCAUGCUGCGGUGAAUACGUUCCCGGGUCU